UACAGAGGAGCCAAGCGUUGUCCGGAUUGACUGGGCGUAAAGCGCACGCAGGCGGACGCGCGCGUGGGGUGUGAAAUCUGGCCGCUUAACGGCCAGGCGCCAUCCCAUACGGCGCGUCUGGAGCAAUGCAGAGGUCGGUGGAAUUCCCGGUGUAGUGGUGAAAUGCGUAGAGAUCGGCAGGAACACCCAGGGGGAAACCAGCCGACUGGGCAUUUGCUGACGCUGAGGUGCGAGAGCGUGGGGAGCGAACCGG
rnacentral:rRNA from 1 species